UUUUAGGAUACAAUUAUCAUUAACUAUUUAAGUUUAAAUUAUGAUAAUUAAGUGGGUUAAAUCACAAUUAAGUCUACAUAGAAUGAUAUUUUGGAUUAAUAAUCUUCAUUAAAAUAAAAUUAUGUUGACACGUUUGGAGGUAAGGUAAUUUUUGUGGCUGAAACAGUGGUCACAACUUCAAACAUUGUUUCAUUGUUAUACUUGCCUAUUUGAAGAGCUAACAGAUCUUAGAACAAAAGCAUUGGGCUAUCUAUUUUGAAGAUAUUUCGACCUGUCAGAGCCCAAAACAUGAAGAACAAUUGAGUUGAAAUUGAAGACUUGAAGAUUUGUUUCUUGCGGAUUAAGUCUAGUUACUUGCGGA
rnacentral:lncRNA from 1 species